CAAAAAUCGGACCUCUCAUCUCUUUGCAUAGAGAGAACGACACAGCCAUAACCUGCACAAAACAAAGACCAAAAAGACAUGACAAUAAAAAAGAAAACAAAAGAAGAAUAGAGAGGAAUGGUAACAGAGAGACAGAGGGGAAGAAAAUUGAAAUCAAAACAGAAAAGAGGAAGAAGGGGAACAACCAAAAUUAAGAGAAGAUUUUCGGCUGAGGUCCGUCGACUGCUCGUAAGGUUCUUGAUUGUGGUUCCAAAUCCAUUUUAUCAUUGUUUUGUUUGUUUGCUACUGGACGCACGAAUUCCGGUGCCAGAUUUCUUAUUGUAUAUUCAAAGGCGAAAGUUAAUCAAAGUUAUAAUUUCAGGUUCAUCUCUUUCUUCCCUUUUCUUUCACGUCUGGAAUUAUGGUCGUUCUGAGAUGAAGUUUCACGCCUUCAUAUUCUGCAUAAAAUUAAUUGAAAUAAAUUUUUGAUUUAACUUUCCUAAUACGAAUAAGUGUGUGUUUCUGAGUGAUUCUAGAUUUUGUUCCCUACCAUGUUGAAUAUGUUUCAUACUACGUUGGGUUGUAUUGUUAUUUUAGUAAAUGCUCGUUUUUGGUUGGUCCGUUGUCUUGAUUUUGUGACAAUUUUCCUUUCUGUUUCAUUAUUCUUUUGGUAUUUUAAUUUAUCCCAAAAAUACUUUAACGAAUGUUUGAGGUUGUGAAUUUACGUAUUUAUGUUGAUGGACUUCUUUUAACUCAUGAGUUAUAUUAAUUUUAGUGAUUGUAGUUAAGUUUUAGUAAAGAAAGAGCUUUAGGAAGUAAUUGACUUAGACUCUUUAGGAGACCUUUCCUUCGUAAAUACUGCAGUACGUUGGAAUCUAUCAAAUUAGUCUUAAUACAUCAAAUUUCGUCCAAGUUUAAACUCCAUAAUUUCAUAAAUACCGGCCUUACAACAAUCCCAAAUUAGUUUAGGGUGAUAAUUAUGAAUGUCAUAGUUUGCUUCAGGCGCGAUUAAUAAAUUAUCGUGACCAUGGGUACGGUUCCCGUGGCAUGGUCGCGAUACAUAAAUCUCAUUCGAGUGCGUUUCACGUGACUCGACCUUAUAAUUUCAAACAAUAAUAAGUUAAACAUGUUGUAAAUCGCGGGUGCAUUUCAUGUGAUGCGGUUUGCAAUAUAUACCAAAACAACAAGUGUACGACAUCGUGCCUUGUUCCAGAAAAUAAUUCCAUAAACAUUAAAAGAGGCGAAAAGGUUAAAAAUGCACAAUAAGUUUAAUUAUAUAUUAAAUUAGAUAAUUAAGUCAAUUAUUAAUAAUUGAGCGACCGUGCUAAACUACGGAACCCGGGAAUGCCUAACACCUUCUCUCGGGUUAACAGAAUUUCUUACCCAGAUUUCUGUGUUUCACGGACUGUAAAACAGAGUCAAACUUCCUCGAGUCGGGAUUCUAAAUCGGUAACUUGGGACACCAUAAAUUAUCCUAAGUGGCGACUCUGAAAUUAAAUAAAUAAUCUCAUUUCGAUUAUUGUCACUUUACUUGGAAAAGCUCCAUAUUCCUCCUAGAAAAAGUAGGUGUGACAGCUCUGGUGACUCCGCUGGGGAAAAGAACCCAGAACCUCUGGUUCAGGGUUCAGAAUUCGAGCUUAGAAUAACUGUUAUAGUUGGCUUUUAUUUAUUAUCUGACUUUUACGUGUUUGAGCCUAAUGUGCUAAUAUCGCUUUUUACCGCUUUGAUAUUGCUUGGACUGUAUAUAAACUGUUACGAAACCCUCUUCUCUCUGAGUUUUCUAAAUCAUUUGGGAAGCGUGCACUUCGUAUGACUUCUUUUCUAUUAGAUUCAUAUCCCAAUUUUAGAACGAGGUUCGAAUAAGUUGCAAAGCCGGUGAAGCUUCUGUAUUCUCGGUACACUGCCCCCCUCGGCUCGAGUUGUCCGCUCGGGUAAGCCAUGUCUAGAAUAAUACACCCAGGUUUUAAACCUAGAAUAACAUAGCCUUAUGACGGAUCCCUAGUAGGAACGCUUGUUUGCAUCAUGUGCAUUUGACUUUGGGGACUCAAUAUAGGGGUUAGGUCUGUCUAGGACAAUUGUACCCAAACUAAAAGACCAUCCUGAUGCAUCUUACGUGCUACCUGUGUAUCUGUUUGUUUCGGCUUGCAUGUUGACUGGCUUCUAGAAUAGGGAAAGAAAAUGAAAAAAAAGAGAAAAAAAACAAGAGCGAGUAGUAGGUAUUUGAAAAAUUUUGAAACUCUACAAAAUUUUGAAAAAAAGAGAAAGAAAGUAAGUCAAUGUUUUCAAAAGUCAUGUUUCCUCUGUUCCGUCAAAACUGGCCGAACUACGCGUGUCUGAUUCUCACCGGAUGUAAGAUAUUUAGGCAAACCUCAUCGGUUCCGGCCCCCAAUUUUUAAAAAUCUAAAAAUAUUUUUCUUUACUUUCUUCUUUAGAAAAGCCUUCUUUUGAGACCCCAAUCUUUAAAAAAUCCAAAAAUAUUUUCUUUUACUUUCCUCUAAAAAUCCAAAAAUAUUUUUGAAAAUUGAAAAGAAAAUUCAAGAUUCAAAAAAAAAAUAAUAUUUUUUUAUUUAUAAGUCUUUCUUUCAUGAUUUUAUCAUAAAAGUCCAAAAAUUUGAAAACAUUUUCUUUAUUCUUUAGAAGUUUUUUUUACAAAAUGCCAAAAGAAAAAAAGGGAAAAACUCAAAAUUAAAAAACAAUCUUUCUUCUUUAUAAAUCUUUCUUUCGAAAAAAAAUCAAAAAAAUAAAAAAUAAAAAAAAGAGUUAGUUUAUUUACUUUAUUCCCGAUCUUCCCGAACUACGCAAAGAUUUGAUUCAUGCGGCGUCAUGAUACGUAUGCAACCUACAUAGAAUUCGAUCGAAUCGUUUUUUUUAAAUAGGAACAAAAAGAAAAAAAAAGAGAUGAAGUUAUGAGAUGUGAGAAAUGAGAGAAAAGAAAAAGAGAGGAAAGAAAACGAGCAAAUCAAGGAGCGCAAGAGAGAAAAUUAAGAAAAUAGGGGCAAGAGAAGUAAAAUUGGGAUGAUGCCAAGUUGACUUCCCACCCUCGAAGUCAUUUUAGAACCGAUAAUUAUGAUUAUGUGCAUUGCACAUAAUGUGAGAUUAUCUUAGGUUAAAUGCCCUAACGCCAAUGUGAUGAGUUUAUUUUGUUCCUCUUUGUUAUCUUUAUUGAGCAAAAGGGUGGUUGGUUUGUGGUUCUUAAGUUAACUCAUCCAUACAACACAAGGCCAAAGAGCAAGGUAGGCAAGCAUAAUGGUUUUAUGACAUUCCGAAAUAUUUUAUUAACGUAUUUCUCAUGCAUUGCAUUCACUUACAUGUGCAUUUACCCAUUACUCAGACAGCGUUAUAGACACGUAUAUAUGUAUAUAUAUGUAUAUGGGAUAUGAAAAAAGGUUACGACGUUAUAUACGUACUACCACCUGAUCAGCUUGUAUACGUUGAUGAUUUUACCCACAGUGGCACCAGAGGGCGUUAUAUAUGCGUAUAUAUGUAAAUAUAUGUAUACGGGAUAUGGGAAAAAGGUUACGGCGUUAUAUACGUACCACCACCUGAUCAGCUAGUAUACAUGAUGAUUUUGCCGACAAUGGCCGAGAUGAUAUGAUGGGAUGCCAUCAGAGUCUUGAUGACGUUAUGAACACACGUACCUAUGCACGACAUGACAUUCAUAAGCAUAUGCAUGACACUAUAAGUAUUACAUGAUUUACAGAGUUAUCCAGACUUAUAGGUUGAGUCCUUCACUCCAAGUUCCUUCAAUGUCUUAAAUUAAUGUUGAGUUAUUGUUAUGUUUCGGUUCUGCCUUACAUACUCAGUACAUUAUUCGUACUGACGUCCUUUUGUUGGGGACGCUGCAUUCAUGCCUGCAUGUUUAGAUAAUCAGUUGACGAGCCCUCAUAGUAGACGAGAUUGGCAUUCAACGAAGGAUCGGUAAGACUCCACCUCAUUCGGAGUGCAACCAAGUCUAUGAGUCAUCGUGUCAGAAUUUUGCUACAGAUUUACAGGUAUGCCGGUACCCUGUCCCAUUUGAUAUUAGUUAAUCUUAGAUGCUUUGUAGAUAGAAGUUCAGUUUGUACAGUAUGUUACAGGCCUUGAUAGCUCAUAUGUAUUCAUGUUUUAAGAAAAAUGAUUCAGGGAUACACUGUUUUCCCACUUACAAUUAUACAUUGCGAGUUGUAGCCAUGUUGGCCCAUGAUAGUUAUAAAAAGGAAUGAAUGAGUUACAGAGUGGUUCGCUCGGGCCACUACAACAUCGGGUGCCAGCCACGCCUCCCCAGGUCCGGGGCGUGACAGUAUCGGUCUGGGCCACACUCUCCGUAAGGCCCACCAGAAAACUGUUAUACAGAGGUAAAAUAUAAUACAAAAAAUUGAUUCUAAGAAAAUUUAAGCUUUUAUAAUGGAUAGUUGUUAUAUAGGAAUAUUUUUUUAGGGAUGCUUGUAGGGUUUGUAUUCAUAUUUUUUAUACAUGCACUUUUAACUCUUAUAGUUAAUGAAUAUUUAUUCUCAUAUUAAUUUAACAUAUAAUCAUAAUAAACUUAUGUAAUUCGAUAUAAACAUUAAUCAUUCAAAGUUCUAAUUCCUAUCUUAGAAAAAUUUUAUUUUGUGUCUCAUAUGCCAACUCAUACUUAUAUGAGGCUCUUUAUUAUUUGACAAGUGGACUCAUGUGUGAAGACCGAUAGGUUAUUUUAUUGUUUCACCCUUAAUUUAUGUAUUUCAAAACCUCUAAUAGCUUGGUUUAGCCUUCCUCGUUUUGCGCGUAUAAUCCAUGUCCUUUUUCCGCAAUUUUUUUUCCUGAGAAAAUUGAUGAAAAUGUAAAUCAUUCAUUAAAACUCAUUUGAGUUUACUACGAUCAAUGUUUUAUAUAAACGGAUCCGGAUUAAUAUUUUUGACAGUCCCGGUGGGUCCGUAUCGUAAUUUGAGUUGACUUCGGCCAAGUUAGGGACUUCUGAAUUCAAUUUUAUUUUAUUGUUUUACCCUUUAUUUCUGUAUUUUGAAACCUCUAAUAGCUUCGUUUACCCUUUCUCGAUUUGCGUGUGUAAUCCAUGUCCUUUUUCCGAAAAGUUUUUAUGAGAAAAUUGAUGAAAAUGUGAAAUCGUUCAUUAAAACUCAUUUAAGUUGACUACGGUCAAUGUUUUGUAUAAACGAAUCCGGAUUAAUAUUUUGACAAUCCCAGUGGGUCCACAUCGUAAUUUGAGACUUGGACAUAUGCCCGAAAUAUAAUUCGGAAGUCCCUAAAUUGAGUUAAUGUGAAUUGUUGAAAACUAUCAAUUUAAAUGUUUAAAGAAUUUUUAAGUUUGACCGAAGGUUGACUUUAUUUCUACCUAGUUCAUAUUUCGGUUCCGGAACUUGGUAUAGGUUCAUUUAAGUAUUUAUAACUUGUCUAUAAAAUUUGGUGCAAAACGGAGUUGAUUUAAUGUGAUUCAGACGUCUGGUUGUAAAUCUGCAUGUUUUUAAGUUUCUUUGAAAAUUUCAUUCAUUUUGGAAUUUGAUUCGUAGUUCUAAGUGUUAUUUUGGUAUUUUGAUAGCACAAGUGAGUUCGUAUGGUGUUAUUACAUUUGUGUGCAUGUUUGGUUUGGAGCCCCGAGGGUUCGGGUGAGUUUCAGACGUGUUUCGAAGAAUUCAUAGGAGAUCAGAUUUUUGUUGGUGCUCAGAUCUCACAUUUGCGAGAAAUUAGUCGUAUUUGCGACAGCCGCAGUUGCAAGCUUCAUGCUCACAUUUGCUAAGAGCACAGUGGCCUGAAGAGUUCGCAUUUGCGAACUCCCUAUCACAUUUGCGAUGAUGGCCUGGACUGGGUAUUGGCCGUAAUUGUGAUCACUGAGUUGCUUUUGCAGAGGGUCCAGGUUUGCAAUUGUGAACAAAUCAUUACAUUUGCACUGAAAGCAGAGAUGUGGGAUUGCUCGCAUUUUCGAUGGAUUCUUUACAUUCGCGAACCCCAUGUCACAUUUGCGACAUCUGCGCCUGGACAAAAAGCUGAGAAAACGGGAUUUAGCUCAUUUUUCACACUCUCAACUCUAAAUGCCCUAGAGGUGAUUUUUCCAAGUGAUCUUCUUCCUAAGUACAUUGGUAAGUGACUUUAAUCUACUUCCUUUUAAUUACCCAUUAUAUUUCAUAAGAUUUUAAUAUCAAAUCGAGGAUUCUCAUGGUAGAAAUUAGGAAUUUGGGUAAAAUUAGGGAUUUUUGUAAAUUUUGGGAUUCAGACCUCGAAUUGAUGUCGGGUUUCAAAACUAAUUACAUAACUGGGCUCGGGGUGAAUUGGUAACUGGGUUUUGGUUCGAAUCUCGAUUUUUGACCAAGCGGGUCUAGGGUUGACUUUUGUUGACUUUUAGGGAAAAGUAUAAAGAUCUUAUUUUUAUGUAUUAUAAUUGAUUUCCCUAUUAUUGUUUGUUGAUAUUAGAUCAAUUUUCAUUAGAUUCAGUUGGUUCGGAGGCGAAUUUUAGAGGAAAGGCCCCGGUUGAGCUUUGAUUUGCUUGCGGAGCGAGGUAAGUAUUGGGUCUAACCUUGAUUUGAGAGAAUUAGGACCACUUGAGCUAUGUGUUAUGUGAAUUACAUGUGUAGAGGCGUAUAUGCGAGGUGACGAGUAUAUAUACGUCAUCAAAAUAGUUAUAUCUAUGCUUGUCCGUAUUUCAUUAAUUAUUUUAUUCUACGUCUUAAGUGUUACAUGCUUUAAUUGCUUUCUAUGCCUGAACUUGCUGCUUGUCAUUUAUUACUCUCGUAGUAAAAUGUUUGUUUCUUCCAUGCUUCUAUGAUUAAUUUCUACUUAUCUUAAUUGUCGUACUUGUACACUUUAAUAGCCAUAUAUUUGGCUUGUCUUGUUGAUUUGUACUAAUUGUAGCACUCCUUGAUUUGGUACGAGAUUCUUGUGAAUUGAGUUGUUGAAUUGAUUAUAUUUAUUGAUUUUUUAUGGAUCGGGUUGCACGCCGCAAUGAGUAAAAUAUGGGAGGAUUGAUAUUGAUAUGGUGGGAUCGGAUUGCACGUUGUAACGGAUUUUAUAUGUGAUUUUAAUAUGGCAAAAUAAGGGAGGAUUAUGAUAUUGAUUCUGAUUAUAUGGUGGGAUCAGGUUGUGUGCCACAACAGAUUUUAUAUUUUAUUCUUCAUAUUUAUAUGGUGAAAUAAGGGAGGGUUGUAUUUGUACGGUGGGAUCGGGUUGCGUGCCGCAACGAAUUGUGUAUUUUGUAUUCAUUGUUGCAUUGUGUUAGCUUUUGAUGUUUUCAUACGAGAUUCUGAGGACUGUUGUUUUUGGUUUUACUGAUUUCAAGGAUUGAGUUUAUUUUCACAAGUUAACUGCGUUACUUUUCCUGUAUUCCUUUCCUGUUAUUAUUAUUAUACAACGUGCAAGUUAUUAUAAAUGACUCACCAUAGCCUCGUCACUACUUCGUCGAGGUUAGGCUCGGCACUUAUAUAGUACAUGGGGUCGGUUGUACUUAUACUACACUUUGCACUUCUUGUGUAGAUUUUAGAGUCGGUCCAAGCGGCGAUCAGUAUAUUGCUCGGAUUGAUUGGAUGAUGGAGACUUGAGGUUUAGCUGCUCGAUGUUCGCAGCCCUGAAGUCCCCUUCUACAUUAUUCUAGCUGUUUAUUUCACUUCAGAUAGUUAUACUUUCAUUUAGAUAAUUAUUUGUAUUAUUCUAGUCGCUCGUGUACUUGUGACACUAGUUCAGGGAUUGUAUCUAGAUAUCGCUGUUGUUAUGAUUUUCUCACUUAAUUUCUUUCUUAUUCAUUUUCCUGGUUAUUAUUUAAUUUGAAUGGU
rnacentral:lncRNA from 1 species